AUCUAGCUGACGGGUCCCACACAGGACGAAACGGGCGUCCUCCAU
rnacentral:hammerhead_ribozyme from 1 species